rfam:Oryza sativa (indica cultivar-group) chromosome 3, whole genome shotgun sequence.
AAUAAGUAUACUUUUAGCAUUAUUUAUGUUUAACGUUUGACCAUUUGUCUUAUUUAGAUGAUAAAACAUGAAUAGUACUUUAUGUGUGACUAAUUUUUUCAAUAUUUUUUAUAAAUUUUUCAAAUAAGACGGAUGGUCAAAGCGCUAAACACAGAUAUCUAUGGCUGCACUUAUU